rnacentral:sRNA from 1 species
UUGAAAACUUUUUCCAGGUGUUCCAGG